rnacentral:rRNA from 1 species
GAUGAACGCUGGCGGCGUGCCUAAUACAUGCAAGUCGAGCGAACAGACGAGGAGCUUGCUCCUCUGACGUUAGCGGCGGACGGGUGAGUAACACGUGGAUAACCUACCUAUAAGACUGGGAUAACUUCGGGAAACCGGAGCUAAUACCGGAUAAUAUAUUGAACCGCAUGGUUCAAUAGUGAAAGACGGUUUUGCUGUCACUUAUAGAUGGAUCCGCGCCGCAUUAGCUAGUUGGUAAGGUAACGGCUUACCAAGGCGACGAUGCGUAGCCGACCUGAGAGGGUGAUCGGCCACACUGGAGCUGAGACACGGUCCAGACUCCUACGGGAGGCAGCAGUAGGGAAUCUUCCGCAGUGGGCGAAAGCCUGACGGAGCAACGCCGCGUGAGUGAUGAAGGUCUUCGGAUCGUAAAACUCUGUUAUUAGGGAAGAACAAAUGUGUAAGUAACUAUGCACGUCUUGACGGUACCUAAUCUGAAAGCCACGGCUAACUACGUG